AGAAUCAACGCUGGCGGCGUGCCUAACACAUGCAAGUCGAUCGAGAAAGUGGAGCAAUCCAUGAGUAAAGAGGCGCACGGGUGAGUAACACGUGACUAACCUACCUUCGAGUGGGGAAUAAACCUGGGGAAACCCGGGCUAAUACCGCAUAAUACCUACGGGUCAAAGGAGCAAUUCGCUUGAAGAGGGGGUCGCGGCAGAUUAGUUAGUUGGCGGGGUAAUGGCCCACCAAGACGAUGAUCUGUAUCCGGCCUGAGAGGGCGCACGGACACACUGGAACUGAAACACGGUCCAGACUCCUACGGGAGGCAGCAGUGGGAAUUUUGCGCAAUGGGGGAAACCCUGACGCAGCAACGCCGCGUGGAGGAUGAAGUCCCUUGGGACGUAAACUCCUUUCGACCGGGACGAUUAUGACGGUACCGGAUGAAGAAGCCCCGGCUAACUUCGUGCCAGCAGCCGC
rnacentral:rRNA from 1 species